rnacentral:snoRNA from 1 species
AAACCAUGAUGAGGACACUCUAAGAGAAGAUCCUUAAAACGUUCCAUACACCUAGAAAAUGAUUCAUUUGGUUUUUGACGAAACUGAAAAAUAUCGUUCCUAAUCUU